GAGUUUGAUCCUGGCUCAGAACGACGCUGGCGGCAGGCCUAACACAUGCAAGUCGAGCGAGGUCUUCGGACCUAGCGGCGGACGGGUGAGUAACGCGUGGGAACGUGCCUCUUGCUACGGAAUAGCCUCGGGAAACUGGGGGUAAUACCGUAUGUGCCCUACGGGGGAAAGAGUUUUAUCGGCAAGAGAUCGGCCCGCGUUGGAUUAGGUAGUUGGUGAGGUAACGGCUCACCAAGCCGACGAUCCAUAGCUGGUUUGAGAGGAUGAUCAGCCACACUGGGACUGAGACACGGCCCAGACUCCUACGGGAGGCAGCAGUGGGGAAUCUUAGACAAUGGGCGCAAGCCUGAUCUAGCCAUGCCGCGUGAUCGAUGAAGGCCUUAGGGUUGUAAAGAUCUUUCAGCUGGGAAGAUAACGACUGUACCAGCAGAAGAAGCCCCGGCUAACUCCGUG
rnacentral:rRNA from 1 species